UACGGAGGGUGCGAGCGUUAAUCGGAAUUACUGGGCGUAAAGCGCACGCAGGCGGUUUGUUAAGCUAGAUGUGAAAGCCCCGGGCUCAACCUGGGAUGGUCAUUUAGAACUGGCAGACUAGAGUCUUGGAGAGGGGAGUGGAAUUCCAGGUGUAGCGGUGAAAUGCGUAGAUAUCUGGAGGAACAUCAGUGGCGAAGGCGACUCCCNGGCCNAAGACUGACGCUCAUGUGCGANAGUGUGGGUAGCGAACAUU
rnacentral:rRNA from 1 species